rnacentral:rRNA from 1 species
AUUCCGGAGAGGGAGCCUGAGAAACGGCUACCACAUCUAAGGAAGGCAGCAGGCGCGCAAAUUACCCAAUCCCGGCUCGGGGAGGUAGUGACAAAAAAUAACAAUGCGGGACUCUUAUGAGGCUUCGUAAUUGGAAUGAGUACAUUCUAAAUCCUUUAACGAGGAACUAUUGGAGGGCAAGUCUGGUGCCAGCAGCCGCGGUAAUUCCAGCUCCAAUAGCGUAUAUUAAAGUUGUUGCGUCUAAAAAGCUCGUAGUUUGAAAACUUGCCUUGGCUUACAACAGACGUCUAAGGGCGUCACCGUUUGUCGAGAGCAAAUAUGGGUGACUGUUCUUGCCUUCUUCACUGAUUGGCUCGUAAAAGUCAUCGAAGAUCACUUUGAUUAAAUUAGGGUGCUCAAAGCAAGUGUGCUACUUGAAUAUGAAUGCAUGGAAUGAUGGAAUAUGUUGUUGUUCUAUUUGUUGGUUUUUUGAAUGACGAAAUGAUUGAAAGGAACUGUUGGGGGCAUUCGUAUUGUUGUGAGAGAGGUGAAACUCUUAGACCAUAGCAAGACGAACUACUGCGAAAGCAUUUGCCAAGAAUGUUUUCAUUGAUCAAGAACGAAAGUUAGAGGUUCGAAGGCGAUCAGAUACCGCCCUAGUUCUAACCAUAAACCAUGCCGACUAGCAAUUUGCUUUGUAUUUUUAUGACUAAGUGAGAGGCCACGGGAAACCAAAGUAGGGUUAUGGGGGAAGUAUGGUUGCAAAGCUGAAACUUAAAGGAAUUGACGGAAGGGCACCACCAGGAGUGGAGCCUGCGGCUUAAUUUGACCCAACACGGGAAAACUUACCUGGUCCUGACACUAGAAGGAUUGACAGAUUGAUAGCUCUUUCUUGAUUUGGUGGAUGGUGGUGCAUGGCCGUUCUUAGUUGGUGGAGUGAUUUGUCUGGUUAAUUCCGAUAACGAACGAGACUCUAGCCUAUUAAAUAAUAUGCGGAAUCAAUUUCUCCCGCGUUAUUUCUUAAUGGGAUCAAGCGUGUUUAACGCUUUGAAACAGAGCAAUAACAGGUCUGUGAUGCCCUUAGAUGUUCGGGGCUGCACGCGCGCUACAUUGAAGAACAAAGUGAGCCCUCUGGCUUCUAACAAAGCUAGAAAUCUUUUAAUGUUCUUCUUAAUGGGGAUAGGGGAUUGCAAUUGUGCCCCUUGAACGAGGAAUUCCCAGUAAGUGCUAGUCAUUAGCUAGUACUGAUUACGUCCCUGCCCUUUGUACACACCGCCCGUCGCUACUACCGAUUGAAUAGUUUAGUGAGAUCAUCUGAGUGUUUGUAUGUGCAUUCUGUGCUUGUAUGGUGUACGAAGAAGAUCAAACUUGAUUAUUUAGAGGAAGUAAAAGUCGUAACAAGGUUUCCGUAGGUGAACCUGCGGAAG